rnacentral:rRNA from 1 species
UACGUAGGGUGCGAGCGUUGUCCGGAAUCACUGGGCGUAAAGGGUGCGUAGGCGGGUCUUUAAGUCAGGGGGGAAAUCCUGGAGCUCAACUCCAGAACUGCCUUUGAUACUGAAGAUCUUGAGUUCGGGAGAGGUGAGUGGAACUGCGAGUGUAGAGGUGAAAUUCGUAGAUAUUCGCAAGAACACCAGUGGCGAAGGCGGCUCACUGGCCCGAUACUGACGCUGAGGCAUGAAAGCGUGGGGAGCAAACAGG